rnacentral:rRNA from 1 species
UACGGAGGGUGCAAACGUUGCUCGGAAUCAUUGGGCGUAAAGCGCACGUAGGCGGCCUGAUAAGUCGGGUGUGAAAGCCCUGGGCUCAACCCAGGAAGUGCAUUCGAAACUGUCAGGCUUGAAUAUGGAAGAGGGUCGCGGAAUUCCCGGUGUAGAGGUGAAAUUCGUAGAUAUCGGGAGGAACACCAGUGGCGAAGGCGGCGACCUGGGCCAAUAUUGACGCUGAGGUGCGAAAGCGUGGGGAGCAAACAGG